rnacentral:misc_RNA from 1 species
CGGAGGAUCAUUAUCGUAACAACGGAGGUGCGAGGGCUGUCGCUGACCUUUCAAAGGUCGUGCACGCCCAAGCGCUUUCACACAAUCCAUCUCACCCCCUUUUG